rnacentral:lncRNA from 1 species
UCUCUUUUGCUGGUGAGUUACAUCUUUUCAAAAAUUAUAGAAGUAGCAGAAAUUGUAUAUAAAGUUUGUCCCUAUUUGUUAAUUGUGAAUAUGUGUUAAUUACCUAAGAUUAAAACUAUAGAUGAGUCUAAACUAAGUUUUCUGUUUGCAGAUUCAUGUUCUAAGGGUAUAAUUCGGUAUUUUGUUUACUGUUGUAACUAGAGUAGAUAUGAGUGAGGACUACCCUAAAAUUACAAAGAAUGAGAGAAUGGACUUUGGAAUUAACUAAACUUUAUGCCAUCUCUUUACUGUGAAGACUCCUUUAACGGUUUUUGGUUUUGUUUUUCAAUUACCUCUACGGAACUUUUUUCUUUGAAACCACUUUAAUGGAAAGUUGGCCAGCAGAGGGAGUAUAGAUUAGUAAUCCUGAGUGUUUAGCUAAGAUGUUCCCUACUGAUGCAGACUCAUUCCCAGAGCAAACCAAAAACAAAAGGUGAAGCUUCUGGGUUCCAAAUGCUAAGAACACUAAACACUAUGAUAUGAAAUGCAAAACCCUAACACCCAAGAAGAUAGCGUAUUAGGUAAUUUUUUCACAACUUCCAAAAUAUGGAAUGAGCAAAUCCUAAUGCUGGCUCUGCUGCGAAUGAAACAUGAUGUGAUAUUGGGUAAAUUAUUGAUCUUGCCAGUUUCCUCAUCUGCAAAUUACAGGAUUAGGCUAAGUCAGUUUUUCCCAACUUUUUUACUAUGAGUUACCUCAAACUCUUAUAAUCUUCCCCCUACCCCAGCCCUAUGUUUCAGAAGCUUCUGUUUAUUUUUAAAACUCAUUGAUUAAAUAAUAAUUAAUGCAUUAUUCAUGUUUUAAUAUUGUAAAGGCCCAUUGGAACUUCUGAAGAGUGGCCCCACUGAACUGAAGUAAUUUCAGAUAAUUGUAAAGGAACUCAAAACUUUUAUAUGAGUAAAGUGGAAUUUCUAUUAGGAGCAUUGAAAUUUGAAAAUAGAUCAUCAACUUCUAUUGCUAGAUUUAUAGAUUCUGGGAGUCUGAGGUCCCUGAAUUAGAAGCCACUCAUCUCAAAGACCUCUUCCAAUUAUGAAAUACUUAGACAUCUACUUUUUGAUAGGGGAAGCCUGUAUAUGCUCACGUGAUGAAUUUAUUUUAAUACUAAAUAAAAUUACAUGGUCCAAAAGUGCUUUCUGUUUGUUAAAUUUGGUAACAUAUACAUCAUACAUUGACAGAAUAUUUCCAGUAAUUUGUUUUCUGAUUGAGAACAGUAUAAAUUCAAUAAAUGUCAGUUGUUUAAAUUCCAAAUUAGACCAAGGGAAUAUUUUAGAGUUUUG